UUGCUGCACUGUAACCCUUAAAAUUGGUCUUUGUUUAUGUUUCAUUUCCUAUUGGAGAAGUUGAGAUUGAGUCAUUUGAGUGGGCUUAAAACUUCUAAUUGAUGUUGAUAUGCAAGGCUAAGUAUAAUUCUUAAAACUUCUUCAUGAGAUUGAUUACAUUCAUUUCAUGCAUUCUAUAAGGCAUCAAAUCCAAGAUUUUACAGUGAUCCUGGUGUCAAAGAGGAGAAGGCUUUCAAAUCUUGUAGUUAGUCUUCAAGUAAUUGUUUUUACCAUUUUAUUUUAAGAUGCCAAAUGCUCUAGACGACAAAUGCAUUGUAUUCUUGAAAUUGCUUGCAGAAAAAUCAUAUUCUUUAAAGAAGUUGCAGAACAGUUAUGCCUUUCGCCAACAAAUCAGAGAAUGCAAGGUUCUAUAACAGAGAAAUUAUAUUGGACUGAUGUUUUUCAACUUGGAGUACAUGGAGGCUAAGGCUGUACUGCCCAUUUGUCUUUUAGAAUUUGGGAGUCAUUACAAUUUAUAUAUGGUAAAUCCUCCAACUCUCCAAGAAGGGAAAAAUGGAAUUUGCAAACAGUAUCUUGGGUGAUGGUGAUUUCCUACAUCUCA